rnacentral:misc_RNA from 1 species
AAAUGCGAUAAGUAGUGUGAAUUGCAGAAUUCAGUGAAUCAUCGAAUCUUUGAACGCACAUUGCGCCCCUUGGUAUUCCAUGGGGCAUGCCUGUUCGAGCGUCAUUUGUACCCUCAAGCUCUGCUUGGUGUUGGGUGUUUGUCCCGUCUCCGCGCGUGGACUCGCCCCAAAGUGAUUGGCAGCCGGCGUACUGGUCCCGGAGCGCAGCACAUGUCGCGCAAACGAGUGCCUUGGUACGGCGGCGUCCAUAAGCCCCUCUCUCACGCUCUUGACCUCGGAUCGGGUAGGGAUACCCGCUGAACUUAAGC